CAGGCCUAACACAUGCAAGUCGAACGGAGGUAGGGGCAACCCUACUUCAGUGGCGGACGGGUGAGGAAUGCGUCGGAAUCUACCCUAUGGUGGGGGAUAACACAGGGAAACUUGUGCUAAUACCGCAUAAUGUCGAGAGACCAAAGCAGGGGACCGCAAGGCCUUGCGCGAUAGGAUGAGCCGACGCCCGAUUAGCUAGUUGGUAGGGUAAAGGCCUACCAAGGCGACGAUCGGUAGCUGGUCUGAGAGGAUGAUCAGCCACACUGGGACUGAGACACGGCCCAGACUCCUACGGGAGGCAGCAGUGGGGAAUAUUGGACAAUGGGCGCAAGCCUGAUCCAGCAAUGCCGCGUGUGUGAAGAAGGCCUGCGGGUUGUAAAGCACUUUUGUUCGGGAAGAAAUCAUGCUGGUUAAUACCUGGUAUGGAUGACGGUACCGAAAGAAUAAGCACCGGCUAACUUCGUGCCAGCAGCCGCGGUAAUACGAAGGGUGCAAGCGUUAAUCGGAAUUACUGGGCGUAAAGGGUGCGUAGGCGGCCUUUUAAGUCGGAUGUGAAAUCCCCGGGCUCAACCUGGGAAUGGCAUUCGAUACUGGGGGGCUAGAGUUU
rnacentral:rRNA from 1 species